GAUGAACGCUGGCGGCGUGCCUAAUACAUGCAAGUCGAGCGAACUGAUUAGAAGCUUGCUUCUAUGACGUUAGCGGCGGACGGGUGAGUAACACGUGGGCAACCUGCCUGUAAGACUGGGAUAACUCCGGGAAACCGGAGCUAAUACCGGAUAACAUUUUCUCUUGCAUAAGAGAAAAUUGAAAGAUGGUUUCGGCUAUCACUUACAGAUGGGCCCGCGGUGCAUUAGCUAGUUGGUGAGGUAACGGCUCACCAAGGCAACGAUGCAUAGCCGACCUGAGAGGGUGAUCGGCCACACUGGGACUGAGACACGGCCCAGACUCCUACGGGAGGCAGCAGUAGGGAAUCUUCCGCAAUGGACGAAAGUCUGAUGGAGCGACGCCGCGUGAGUGAUGAAGGUUUUCGGAUCGUAAAACUCUGUUGUAAGGGAAGAACACGUACGAGAGGGAAUGCUCGUACCUUGACGGUACCUUACGAGAAAGCCACGGCUAACUACGUGCCAGCAGCCGCCGUAA
rnacentral:rRNA from 1 species